UACGUAGGGUGCAAGCGUUGUCCGGAAUUAUUGGGCGUAAAGAGCUCGUAGGCGGUUUGUCGCGUCUGCUGUGAAAACCCGAGGCUCAACCUCGGGCCUGCAGUGGGUACGGGCAGACUAGAGUGUGGUAGGGGAGACUGGAAUUCCUGGUGUAGCGGUGAAAUGCGCAGAUAUCAGGAGGAACACCAAUGGGCGAAGGCAGCUCGCUGGGACGUGACUGAC
rnacentral:rRNA from 1 species